rnacentral:rRNA from 1 species
GACGAACGCUGGCGGCGUGCUUAACACAUGCAAGUCGAACGGUGAAGCGCCUUCCUUUUUGGUGGGUGUGGAUGAGUGGCGAACGGGUGAGUAACACGUGAGUAACCUGCCCCCUUCUUCUGGAUAACCGCAUGAAAGUGUGGCUAAUACGGGAUAUUCUGGGUCUGUCGCAUGAUGGGUCUGGGAAAGAUAUUGUUUCGGUGGGGGAUGGGCUCGCGGCCUAUCAGCUUGUUUGUGGGGUGAUGGCCUACCAAGGCGGUGACGGGUAGCCGGCCUGAGAGGGUGGACGGUCACACUGGGACUGAGGCACGGCCCAGACUCCUACGGGGGGCAGCAGUGGGGAAGAGGGCACAGUGGGCGAAAGCCUGAUGCAGCGACGCCGCGUGAGGGAUGGAGGCCUUCGGGUUGUGAACCUCUUUCGCCAGUGAAGCAGGCCUGCCUCGUUUGUGGGUGGGUUGACGGUAGCUGGAUAAGAAGCGCCGGCUAACUACGUG